rnacentral:rRNA from 1 species
AAUGAACGUUGGCGGCGUGGAUUAGGCAUGCAAGUCGAGCGAGAACCCCGCAAGGGGGGACAGCGGCGAAAGGGACAGUAAUGUGUAGAUUACCUGCCCUCAGGUCCGGGAUAGCUGCGGGAAACUGCAGGUAAUACCGGAUAACAUCUCCGGAUCAAAGGUGUGAUUCCGCCUGAGGAUGAGUCUGCAUCCUAUUAGCUAGUUGGUGGGGUAAUGGCCUACCAAGGCAUUGAUGGGUAGCAGGUGUGAGAGCACGACCUGCGUCAUUGGGACUGAGACACUGCCCAGACACCUACGGGUGGCUGCAGUCGAGAAUCUUCGGCAAUGGGCGCAAGCCUGACCGAGCGACGCCGCGUGUGGGAUGAAGGCCUUCGGGUUGUAAACCACUGUCAGAGGGGAUGAAAUGCAGGUGGGUUCUCCCAUCUGUUUGACAUAGCCUCAGAGGAAGGACGGGCUAAGUUCGUG